UCGAAGUGAAAAUAAAACUGGAAGGAUAAUUCACGAAUAGAAGAAAAGCCAAAAGACGAAUUUAAGGAUAAAAGCUUGAUAUACACAAAUGUUCAAGGACUAAACCGAAAAUUGUCCCCGAAUUUUAAAAUGCAACAUUUAAUCGUUGAUUAAAUUGGGACUAUGUACAAAUCUUAGGAAUAAAUUAAAAAACGAAAGGGAAUAAAAGGGGUUUCAACUGAAUUAUGGCACGAGCAGAAGGGGCUUAGUACGCCAUUGUCCCUUCCAGACCUAACACGCGGGUCAUCGGGUGAAGGCCACCAUUCGACGUAGUAUUUGGACCACCAAAAAUUGGUCAAAACGGCGUCGUUCUUUCGCUCUCUUAUAAAGCUAACAUUACCUUCCUUCAGCCGAACCCUAACCAUGCCCUAGCCUCCCCCUUUUCAACAGCCGCACUUUUCAUUUUCCCUCAAAAACACCAGCACUCUGCAAGGUAUGGUGACCGGCGCUCCAAGCUUCAAAGUACGGCCCGUUUUAGCCACAGACCCCCCCUUCUAACUCCGAUUACGACAAAGUGAAAGGGGACCGACGGCCUAGCAGUGAGGUAAGUCCUUCGUUUUAUUUUGUUAUGCUAAGAAAAAAGACAAAAUAAAAAAAGGAAUGGAACUGAUAAAAAAAGAAACAAGGCGCUUCAAAUCACCUUUUCGAUUGCUCUUUUUCUUUGUAUUUGAUAUGCCAAAUGUGUGUCUGUAUUGCUUUCUAAUGCGAUUGCGCGUAAAUAUUACAAUGAACAAAAGCUUUGGCUUUAUAGCCGAAACAGAAAUAAGAAAGAUCCAAAAUAAAAUAAUAAUAAUAAAUCAAUACGAAUUCUCCUUUUCGUAUUUGCUGUUGUGGUUUUGUAUUUACUCGCAGGUACGGAGUCUGCUGGCAUGUGUACGGAGGUACGGGCAUGGCGUACAAGGGCUGUGGCGUGGCUGCUGAAACGUUGGGGCAUAUGGAGGCAUGGAGGCUGGGGCUUGGUGGACCUGCUAGGGUUUCUGUCUUGGUUUCAGUACUUGGGCCGUUUGGGCUUGUAACAAGUUUGGGCUAGGGCAUUGGUUAUUGGGCCAUGUAAUUGGACUUGUUAUUAGAUUUAAGUUUUGGUCUUGUAUUAAUUUUGGGUUUUGGACUGUAAAAAAGGAUAUUUAAUGGACUGUGGUUAUUUAUUUAUUUAUUUAUUUUAUAUUUAUAUAUAUGUUUGGGGUUUUUUAGCGGGCCCGGGCCAAAAUUGGUCACUACAGCUACUAUUUCAACUAUGAAAGUAAAAGUGCGUAAAAUAUAAAAAUGAUCAUCAAAAUUAUGCAGGUCUUUAUCCAUAACAAUGAUUCACUAUCUUCCUCACAGUGCAACUAAUUUUUUACAUCCUAGUAUUGGUCUAACACUCAUCAAUUUAGAAAUCUCAUUGUUGUACAAAGACUAAAUCACUCCCCCACUAAGUUUUUCUCUCGAAAGUUUAGUUUUGCAAUCUAGAGACUCUCUUGAUUGCUUACAGAAGCAAUGCACACAUAAAAU
rnacentral:lncRNA from 1 species